rnacentral:rRNA from 1 species
AUGCUGCCGCCGCCAUCCGCCGCUGCGGCCGCCAUCCGCCGCUGCAGCCGCCACUGCCGCCAUCCGCCGCCGCCGCCGCCAUCCGCCGCUGCCGCCGCCGCCAUCUGCCGCUGCCGCCGCCGCCAUCCGCUGCUGCCGCCAUCCGUUGCAUGUUCCCGCCGCCCCUGCCGUCCGUCGUCGUGCUGCGGUGCCUGCACUGGACGAGCGCCUUACGCUGGAGGCCAUGUUCGUGAGGCCCCAAGUGUACCUCAUGCUAUAGUCGCUCUGAAAAAAGGCCCACACAAUCCAAUCGCCUGUUGCUAA